GACGAACGCUGGCGGCGUGCUUAACACAUGCAAGUCGAACGGAAAGGCCCUGCUUUUGUGGGGUGCUCGAGUGGCGAACGGGUGAGUAACACGUGAGUAACCUGCCCUCGACUUUGGGAUAACUUCAGGAAACUGGGGCUAAUACCGGAUAGGAGCUCCUGCUGCAUGGUGGGGGUUGGAAAGUUUCGGCGGUUGGGGAUGGACUCGCGGCUUAUCAGCUUGUUGGUGGGGUAGUGGCUUACCAAGGCUUUGACGGGUAGCCGGCCUGAGAGGGUGACCGGCCACAUUGGGACUGAGAUACGGCCCAGACUCCUACGGGAGGCAGCAGUGGGGAAUAUUGCACAAUGGGCGGAAGCCUGAUGCAGCAACGCCGAGUGCGGGAUGAAGGCCUUCGGGUUGUAAACCGCUUUCGCCUGUGACGAAGCGUGAGUGACGGUAAUGGGUAAAGAAGCACCGGCUAACUACGUG
rnacentral:rRNA from 1 species